rnacentral:tRNA from 1 species
CCUUGGUCUCAUGCUCCGCAAACCCCAAUUCCGGAGUGCGAUGGAGCCUGUGGCGCAG